rnacentral:rRNA from 1 species
CCCUUAGAUGUUCUGGGCCGCACGCGCGCUACAAUGAUGAAUUCAACGAGUUUAUAACCUUGGUUGAAAAGCCUGGGUAAUCUUUUGAACUUUCGUCGUGAUGGGGCUAGACCCUUGCAAUUAUUGGUCUCCAACGAGGAAUUCCUAGUAAACGCAAGUCAUCAGCUUGCAUUGAUUACGUCCCUGCCCUUUGUACACACCGCCCGUCGCACCUACCGAUUGAAUGGCUUAGUGAGAUUUCCGGAUCGGCGUUGGGGAGCCGGCAACGGCACCCCUUGGCUGAGAAGUUACUCAAACUUGGUCAUUUAGAGGAAGUAAAAGUCAUAACA